rnacentral:ncRNA from 1 species
UUGAAACACUAGGGGAGCGUUAAGCUGAGAUGUGAGAAACAGACCCUUUGAACUUGUAACUAGGUAAUGCUAGCGAAAGAAAGUGCGAUUAACUGGAC